rnacentral:rRNA from 1 species
UACGUAGGGACCGAGCGUUGUCCGGAUUCAUUGGGCGUAAAGAGCUCGUAGGCGGCUAUUCAAGUCGAACGUGAAAUCUCGGAGCUCAACUCCGAAACUGCGUUCGAUACUGGGUAGCUAGAGUCUGGUAGGGGGAUCCGGAAUUCCUGGUGUAGCGGUGGAAUGCGCAGAUAUCAGGAGGAACACCGGUGGCGAAGGCGGGUCUCUGGGCCGAUACUGACGCUGAGGAGCGAAAGCGUGGGGAGCGAACAGG